rnacentral:lncRNA from 1 species
AUUAAGUGGCCUGUGGUCUGAGGCAGGUGCAACGUGAGAAAUCCAGAGAAUCAUGAGGGGGUAGGGCAGGCUUAGAAAAGGGAGAAUCUGCUGCCAGAGAGGCCAGAUGCCAUGAGUCCAAAGGAAUCAUCCCGCCCCCAGCAGACAAGCGUGGAGCCAGCCUGCUCCUCUGGCCAAAGCAUUCCACCCCCGGACCUCUCCUCCAGGAAGAAGAGAUGUGGAAGAAGAGAUGUGGGUAUGGUGGAUUCUGACCCUUGGCUCCCCAAAGUUCCACAGAGCCCAGCUCCCACUGAAGGCAUAUGACCCAGAUCCUGAGAACCAGAUGCACCGGCCUGAGCUUUCGUCAGAAGCAAGGACACACAGAACCUUUCUUAGAGGCAUCAUUAGAGGACCGGACAUGGUGGCCAGAGGCUGCAGGGACAGAAGUCCCAGGGCCAUGUCCAGGAACUGGGCUCAGGGGACCUCCUGGUGCCACCUGCAUAUCUGAGCCCAUGGAGUUCCUCUGGUCUAUUCAGUUCUCUCAUUUUAACUUAAUUUUGUUUUUGUAGGCUUUCUUAAAAAAUUGCCCAGUUCAUUUACCUGAUCACGUUUAUUGUUCAGAGUUGAGUGUGGUUCUCUCGUAAUUAUUUAGUCUCCACUGGGUCUGUGAUUAUAUUUCCUUUCUUAUUGCUAAUGCUGUUUGUGUUUGAUUUUCUUCUUUUUUUUCUUGGCCUGACUUAAAGAGGUUUGUCUGUUUUAUCUUUAUUUUAAAAAUAACCAACUGUUUAUUUUUACUUCUCCACUGUGAUUUCCCCCUUUAUUUCUUUAAUGUUUGAGUUUAUAUUUUUUCCUAUUUAUUUUGGCUUAAAUUUUAUUAUCAUUUUGCUAUAUCCUUGUGUCAAGCGCUUAAUUCAAUUAUUUUGUUAUUUUGACUUCUAAAAAAUCAGUUAAUUCUAUAAGUUUUCCUCUAUGUACUACAUUGAGCAAACUCCACAGAUUUCUGUAGGGGGCAUACUAAUUGUAAUUCAAUUUCGUUUUCCAUGUGUAGGUCCAGAUUUAUUUGAAUGUCCAAAUACUUAGAAUUGUAGGCUCUUGUUUUGUUAUUAAAGUCUGGUUUUAUUACAUUGUGUUUAGAGAAAAUAAUAUGGAGGAUUUUAAUUUUAGAUAAAGCAUUAAUAUCUUUUUUAUCCUCAAACAUGAUCAAUUUUUGACAGUGUUCCAAAAAUAUACUAUGAAAUAUAUAUUAUCUGUUGGAAUAGAGUAAUAUAUGUACAC